UCCGUGUCUGUGGGCUGACGAUCCGUCUGCCUUUUAGAGCUCCCUCGGGUAGUGGGGCACUCGCACGAUAUCGGCAGACAGACAUAAAGAGGGGAUCCAGAUAAAGCCAAGGAUGCCGUGUAAUCUUUAAAGACAAAGAACACCAAUUUGAUGGCAUGGAAUUUAGUGGCGUGUAAAAUUCCGAAGAGUUGCACUACUUGGUGAAGCGUGAUCGCCAAAGCCCAUAGGAUGGGUGUAAUUCG